rnacentral:rRNA from 1 species
AGAGUUUGAUCCUGGCUCAGAAUCAACGCUGGCGGCGCGCUUAACACAUGCAAGUCGCACGAGAAAGUGGAGCAAUCCAUGAGUAAAGUGGCGUACGGGUGAGUAACACGUGGAUCAUCUACCUCUUAGUGGGGAAUAACCCUGGGAAACCGGGGCUAAUACCGCAUAAGCCUGUAAAGGGAAAGCAGCAAUGCGCUGAGAGAGGAGUCCGCGGCCGAUUAGCUAGUUGGUAGGGUAAUGGCCUACCAAGGCAAUGAUCGGUAGCCGGCCUGAGAGGGCACACGGCCACACUGGCACUGAAACACGGGCCAGACUCCUACGGGAGGCAGCAGUGGGGAAUCUUGCACAAUGGAGGAAACUCUGAUGCAGCGACGCCGCGUGAGCGAUGAAGCCCUUCGGGGUGUAAAGCUCUU